GUUGGGGGGGGGGGCCCUCAGCCCAGAUUGUGAGAGGGGGCAGGCCAGGCCGAGAGACCCCACCAGUGCAGA
rnacentral:pre_miRNA from 1 species